UACGUAGGUGGCGAGCGUUGUCCGGAAUCAUUGGGCGUAAAGGGAGCGCAGGCGGGCCGGUAAGUCUUACUUAAAAGUGCGGGGCUCAACCCCGUGAUGGGAGAGAAACUAUCGGUCUUGAGUACAGGAGAGGAAAGCGGAAUUCCCAGUGUAGCGGUGAAAUGCGUAGAUAUUGGGAGGAACACCAGUGGCGAAGGCGGCUUUCUGGACUGCAACUGACGCUGAGGCUCGAAAGCCAGGGGAGCGAACGGG
rnacentral:rRNA from 1 species